GUAUUGUUAAUCAAGCUUAACUAUUAUGGAAAAAAGAUAAUCAUCAUUAUGGGUUGAUGUUGAAAAUUGUGGUUUAAUGAUUUGGUUUAUGGUUGAUUCUGAAAUUUGGUGCAAAAGUUUUUAGAGAUUUGGUAAUCUCAUAAAUGGAAAAAAAAAAAAAAAUGACCAGCUAUAUUGUUUUUGCUCCGAAUUAUUUCCAUCACUACUUAUUUA
rnacentral:lncRNA from 1 species